AGCAGCCGCGGUAAUUCCAGCUCCAAUAGCGUAUAUUAAAGUUGUCGCAGUUAAAAAGCUCGUAGUUGAGUUUCGGGAUUAGUACGUUGGUCGUGCCUUCGGUACGUACUGGUGUUACUGGUUCCUACCUUCUGACGAACCAUCAUGUCAUGAAUUUGGUGUGGCGGGGAAUCAGGACUGUUACUUUGAAAAAAUUAGAGUGUUUAAAGCAGGCUCGCGCUUGAAUACAUUAGCAUGGAAUAAUGAAAUAGGACGUUGACCCUAUUUUGUUGGUUUCUAGGAUUGACGUAAUGAUUAAUAGGGAUAGUUGGGGGCAUUAGUAUUCAAUUGUCAGAGGUGAAAUUCUUGGAUUUAUUGAAGACUAACUACUGCGAAAGCAUUUGCCAAGGAUGUUUUCAUUAAUCAAGAACGAAAGUUAGGGGAUCGAAGACGAUCAGAUACCGUCGUAGUCUUAACCAUAAACUAUGCCGACUAGGGAUCGGAUGAUGUUAUUUUUAAUGACUCA
rnacentral:rRNA from 1 species